rnacentral:lncRNA from 1 species
GCAGGCAAAGAGUUUUACAUUGGUCUUAAAGGCAAAUAGUCUUACAUUAGUCUUAAAGAAAUUGAAGAAUUAGUCUUAAAAAAAUUGAAGAAAAGGUGCCGAGGCGCAUGGUGGGAUUACAUCACCAAUUAGUAAAAUGGUGAUUGGCUUCAAGCUUCAACCUGAAUGAUGCAGUGAAAACAAAAAAAUUAAUUUUUAUUAUUAUUAGUUUUUUUGAGUUUAUCUUUUAACUCAAGAAUAGGAUGCACAGGGAUAGGUGGACAUGAGUUGUGCGUAAAUGGACGUUGAUCAAUUGGUUGGUUAGUUUAAGAACUUAAAUAUGAUAAGGUUGAAUCUAAAAGGAGUUUUAUCUUUUCAACAAUAGGCAUGCUUUCACUUGGGAUAAAACGUGGGCAUGAGUUCUGCGUAAAUUGAUGUUGAUUAAUUGGUUGGUGUUGAUUAAUUGGUUGGUUAGUUUAGGAACCUAAAUAGGAUAAAGUUAAAUCUAUAUCUUUUUAACAAUAGGUAUACUUUUACUCUUGGGAUAAAACGUGGGGUAUCUAUAUUUCGGGAUAAAAGGUGGGGUAUCUAUCUUUUAAGAUAGGGAUGAUUGAGAAAAUAGGUUAAGGGAGAUAAAAUAAGAAAAUCAGUUGUUUAUCUUAUGUUGUUGUUUAUCUUCUUUUUUUAGUCUAUUUAAAGCAAGGUUUCCCUUCAUUAUUUAGUCAUUUCAUAUUAUACUCUUUGAUGACCGUUUUUAGGCCUCUAGAGGCAUUUUCUUAAAAAGGAAAAAGUUUAUAUAAGGUUGAGGCCCUAAACAAUCAUACUAAGGUGCACCUAAAAAAUUCACUAGAAAAAGUUGAUUCGAUACAGAAAAAUCCUCAAAUCCGAUCAUCUCGACCUUAAGAGACAUGGAUGUAAAAAAAGAAAAAAAUG